rnacentral:rRNA from 1 species
UUUGGCGGAGUUAAGAGAGAGAGAGGAUUGAGCCUUAUUCUGGGGUUCCAUCUCGAACCCAGCAGUUAAGUUCACCAGCGCCGAUGGUACUUGGGGGGUGACCCCCUGGGAGAGUAGGUCAUUGCCAAGA